GACGAACGCUGGCGGCGUGCUUAACACAUGCAAGUCGAGCGGUAAGGCCCUUUCGGGGGUACACGAGCGGCGAACGGGUGAGUAACACGUGGGUGACCUGCCCUCAGCUCUGGGAUAAGCCUGGGAAACCGGGGUCUAAUACCGGAUAUGACUCCAUGACGCAUGUUGUGGGGUGGAAAGCCUUGUGCGGCUGAGGAUGGGCCCGCGGCCUAUCAGCUUGUUGGUGGGGUGAUGGCCUACCAAGGCGACGACGGGUAGCCGGCCUGAGAGGGCGACCGGCCACACUGGGACUGAGACACGGCCCAGACUCCUACGGGAGGGCAGCAGUGGGGAAUCUUGCGCAAUGGGCGAAAGCCUGACGCAGCGACGCCGCGUGAGGGAUGACGGCCGUCGGUU
rnacentral:rRNA from 1 species